rnacentral:rRNA from 1 species
UUGGAAACUGGAAGACUUGAGUGCAGAAGAGGACAGUGGAACUCCAUGUGUAGCGGUGAAAUGCGUAGAUAUAUGGAAGAACACCAGUGGCGAAGGCGGCUGUCUGGUCUGUAACUGACGCUGAGGCUCGAAAGCAUGGGUAGCGAACAGGAUUAGAUACCCUGGUAGUCCAUGCCGUAAACGAUGAAUGCUAAGUGUUGGAGGGUUUCCGCCCUUCAGUGCUGCAGCUAACGCAUUAAGCAUUCCGCCUGGGGAGUACGACCGCAAGGUUGAAACUCAAAAGAAUUGACGGGGGCCCGCACAAGCGG